GAUUUCUUUCCGGCAGUCAGUCCUUUUGGUGUUUUCUGCUGCAAGCCGAGGGCGUGAGAAUUCAGCAGUGUUAAACCUUGAGGUACUGGGACAUAAACGUACAGCCCAAAAAACAUGACAGAACAAGUAAGAAAGAAGAAGGAAGGAAGGAAAAGGAAGGAAAAAAGAAAAAGGAAACAAAAAGAACAUAGGAAAGAAUACAGAAAAAAACAUCAGAAAAAAAAAUGGGAGGAAAAGAACAGAAAAGAAAACAAUGGGACAAGAGGGGGAAAAAAAAAAGAAAGAAAAAGAAGGAAAGAAACUUGGAAAAAGACAAUUCCAGUAUACUUCCUGAAAGGAUUUUCAGUAAAAGACUAAUAAGCCAUAUACUGCGACAGUACUGUAAGUCAGAGGAAGAAGGCUAUGAAAUGGAGUGGGCAGCUACACACAUCAGGACCACUAAGGAGAAAGUGGUUCUGGACUCAUGGCAUCAGGUCACUCAAGCAGCAGAAUGAGAUGGCCAAAGGCUGUGCAGUCUCCAGCCAUGGAGGUUUCAAGAUCAGACCAGUUAGAGACCUAAGUAACUUGGUCUGACAUUAGAACUGAUCCUGUUUUGAGGAGAGGGUUAGACUAAAGACCUCCUGAGAUCUCUUUCAACCUUUAACGAUGAUACUAUAUUUCUGGAGGAAGCCUUCCCAAAUUGGAUAUAAGCGAGAUAUUAAGCUACAUCUUUAUGAAGAGACUAUUCAGAUCUCUGAUCCACUCACUUUUUCCCUACUUUGAUACUAGCUGUCUUCUACUGGUAGAAUUCUGAGUGUAACAGGAGGUAUGCAUUCAUUUCAAUGUCUUUUAAUACUUAUCCGAAAGAAUAAUUAUCACUUGAAAUUCUUGGAGAUGUUAUGUUGUAGGUUUUUCCUUAGACAUGAGUACCUUUUUUCUGAAGAUGUAUUAUUUAAUACAUAGACUAAAGGAUAUACACUUGUCUCUGCUACUAAUAUGUAUCAUCUAUUCUUUAUAUGUGGCGUUAGACUUAACCAAUUUUCUCUAAAAUACAUCCAAGACAGAUCUAAGUUCAUUCUGGGCUUAGAUUUACGCUCUAUAUAUACUAGCUUACAGAAACCCUGGUUAGCCAGAAUUUUUACAAUUAGAGCUUGUCUCUUUCUGUGGGCAUUCAACCAGACCUAUUGCACUGAUUGCUGUGGUUUUACCUGGCAGGUGACUGAGCACCAUGCAGUGUUUUGCUCACUGCCCUCCUUCCCUGUGUGAUGGGGGAAAAAAUCAGGAAAAAAGAAAAAAAAAAUAGAAUUUGUGGGCUUGUGGGUUGAGAUAAAACUAUUUACUAAGAUAGAGAAAAGGAUAAUAGUUAUGACUGUAUGUAUAUGUGUGAAUGUAAAUAACAGGGGAUGCACAAGCACUUGCUCACCACCCCUUGACCAAUGCUCAGCUAGUCCUCCAAGCGGCGUAAGAGAGAGAGAUGAAUGCCCACUCCCUUCAAAUUUCUUCUGCUUGGUAUAGUAUGGAAUAUCCCUUGGGUCAGUUUGUGUCAGCUGUCCUAAUUCUGUUCCAUCCCUUCUCCUUGGGCCCUUUGCUGAGAAUGGCCUUGGUUCUCUGUACAACCCUGCUUAGCAGCAACUAUAAACAUUGGUGUGUUAUCAGCAUUGUUUUUCUCCUGGAACCAAUACACAGCAUCAUACAUUAGACACCCUAAAGAAAACAACUCUGUCCCAGCUGAAAGUGAGGCACUGAUUCACUGACCAGUAGUUUUUACACUGAAAUAUAGAAGUUACUCAUUCAUAAAGGAGGCAGGAGAGAACAAUCUGCUGUCUUUGUGUAAAUUCAUCAUCACUUUACAUUGGAACAUGGGAUUUUGCCAGUAGUUUGCUAUUUGGUUUUGUGCAAUGAUAUCUGUGUAUCUAACUGCUGAGUGUACUGAACAAUUGUGUUAUUGUAAUGGUUAAAUUGCUCCUAGAGGCCUAUUUAAGCCUGAUAAAAAUUAUAAAUGAAUAAAUUAAAC
ensembl:lncRNA